rnacentral:misc_RNA from 1 species
GGAAAAAGUAGGCUCGUAUUCAUUUCAGCAUUGCAUUCUUUACAUUGACAACAUUUAUUUUCCCUCAACAAAAGCGGACUGUCAAGCGUAAAUUGACAAAAUUUGAUUCCACCAAAUACCACAAGUAGCAAAAAUAUCCUUUUCAACAAGAAAACAGAGGAACCAAUCCUUUUUUUUUUUUUUGCUGCUAAGGGUCAUGGUAAGAAUAUGUACCAGAGACUAAAAUUUCCUGAUUAUGAAUGUCUAUUUUAAUGCUGUACAAAAUCUAAUUUACUCGACUGCCCGAGUACAGCAACAGUAAAAAUUGGAAAUAUUCAAAGCUCUGUUCUAUACAAACUUUGUAUAUAAUUUGCUUUCAGCCCCUUAAAUUCAUACCAUAAAAGCAUUACUAUGAUGCUCCUCAAAAACAAAAGGCGGUGAAGCUGGAAAUUGUUUCAACAAUACUCGGAAAAGGGACAGAUACAAUAGCAACACACACCUCGAACAUUAAAUGUCAUGGCCAUGAGCUCCAAUGAGACUUGGAUCUAUUGCUUGGAAGCAUCCUUACCUGCACAUUUGGUUCCACUUUCCUGUUUGUUUCCAGGCUGAAUGCUUUCCAAAUAUGCAGAAAUUAAGUCAUCCAAUUUCACCAACCAGAGAGCAAGUGCAGAUGAUGUUUGAGGCAUAGUUGGAAAGCUCGCAAUAAUUUCUUCCAUAGAAGUAUUGGAAUCAUGCGCAACAUCACAUUGACAUAACCAAUCCUCAUUAAUUGCAGCAACAAAAUCGGCAACAACCUGCAAAAGCUCUGCCAAAGAUGAGGUGCGUCUGAGCCUUUUGACCCACAACCUAUGAGCAGACUUUGUCCAAGCACCCAGCAAAGCUUCAUCUGGCAUAGCUGACUCAAUUGCAUGGACUGCAGCUUUCAGUGAUUGCAACUGUGAUGACAGAACUUUAUGUUUUGGAAACAUUUCACUGUCUCUUUUCGCUCUACAUGUGGCUGAAUGGAUGGCAUAUCUUUCUUCAAGAUCAAAAUCAAGUUCAAAUGUUGUAUGACAAAUCCUACAGUGCUUCUCAUCUCUCCAGUACAAAUCAUGACAAGUUUCACAUCUGGUAAGCGAUUCAAAAUAAGAUCUCUUGACACGUUUCACAGCAUUAAGAUCACAGUAAAAAUAAUUCCAUAUCCAUGCAUCAAACUCCUGAAGACGGCUCCACUUCUGGUUGUCUUCCUCCUCCUUCUUCCCUGCUUCAAGAAUUAUAGCACCACAUGGAGGCAGAGAAUCUUUCAUGACCUCAGGCAGGCUCAGGUUGUUGUCUACAUCAGACACUGGCGAUGUACUGUCUUCUCGAACUAUGUCCAGCUCAGGUUGAUCUGAUUGUGCCAAGCGCCUGUUUUCAGCAUGAUUUACCAUGUUACUUGACAUCUCUUGGCAAAGAAAAGCUUCCCGCUUUUUUAAAGAUUCAAUAAGGAGAGCCUCUCUUGCUCCCCUGUCAUCCAAAAUUGACAACAAACCACGCAAAGCCUCUUCAGUAUCAAUCACCUCCCAGUGACCAUCUUCAGAAGAUUCAAAAUAAACUCUCUUAUGGCCAGGAUCACGUGAAUUACAAGGGCCCAAGAAAAGCCAAUAUCUACUGUACCUACGAUCAGAACCCAAGAAGAUAGAUUGCAUUGGAUGCAAAUUGACUCCAAGUUCUGUCUCUUUCAUGUCUUUCCCUUUGCCAGAGGACUUUUCCCCUUCAUUAAACUUUAGGAUUGAGACAGAAGAAUCAAUUGGGUGAGAUGCAGAUGAUGAAUAUGGUUCUUUUGAAUUAUUCACUUGCCCAACAUGGACCCAGGAUGGCCUGGGAAAAUUAUGUUGCUUUGAUGAUGAUCUCUUUAUUUUUGCCCCAGAGCCAUAAUGAUGCAUGUUUGGAACAGAUUCAACAGUGGUUCUUUUCACAUCCUCCAUUCUAAUACUGGAUCCAGCACUGACAAGAUCAAUCAAAGCCACCAAAACAUUCAACUUUUCUUCAAUGCUUAAAUCUGAAUAUUCACCUUCAAUAAGUCCUAGCAACCACACUUCUCCAGGGUGGCUCUCAUCAAUUUCAUUGUAAACUGUCAACAUGUUCUUUUUACUUCUGUGAUGGUUAGUAUGCUUGGAUUUUCUUGAAUUGGAAUUAUCUGAGUCACACUCAGAAUCACUGCUGCUACAUGUUCCACUAUCAUUGAAGUCAUCAUGAACACUUCCAGAGUCCUCAGUAUCAGACUGAAAAUCAUUGGCUUCUUUUGAAAGAGUACUAAUGCGCAGACGAUAAGCAGAUGGCGAGAUCUUCUCAAAUAAAGUAAUAUCACUUGAAAGAGUAGAGCUUAUUAGAAGUUCCAAUUCCUCGGUCGUCUUUGCAAGAUUUAGUUCAGUAAUCUCCAUCGACUUUGCUAGAUCAGAAACUUUCAAUCCAUUAUUUCCUCUCUGUGACAACAGUUUAAACAAUUCACCCUUCAAAGUUCCAGGACGUAGGCCAUACUUCACCAUGAGGCUCAUCUCCUUGCUAAGGGCUUCCCUAUGAAAUGAACCUUGCCUUGAACCAAAACCAGCUGCAACCAAGACUUGAUGCAGUAUUUCUGUCCAUGUAAGGGGAUUGAGAGACUUCUUCCAAAACUCCACAACAAAUUCUUGAUGUUCAACCGAAUGAAUAAGUGCAAGAAACUGGCAAGAUACGCUCAAAUUGGGCAGAAAUCCACUACUAAUCUCCGUUUCAACAUCAGAUAAAAGAAGCUUCAGAAGGGCCAGAUGAAUUUUUCCAAGUAACAAAGAAUCCUUAUCAUGGAAUGCUUGAGCAAAUUCAUCAAGAGUGAAGGGGCAAAUAUCAAUUGAAACAGAAUAUGUGUAAAGAAAAUGGAAAACCUUAAAUAGUUUUUUCACGGUCUCUGGAGAGGAAUCCCAAGGCUGCUUGGCGAAUGGUUGCUUCAUCUUUACAGAAUUUGGAGGAAAUUUGGGCAGCAAAUCUUUGCAAAGGGAACAACCAUGCAGUCCAUUGUUUGCACAAUGAUCAGAACAUGUAACUGGAUUCAAUCCAGCUUGUAAUUCUCUCAGCUCCAGCUCUUCAUCAUCCAAUAGCAAUGUCAAUUGAUCAACACGCUCCUGAGAUAAAACUCCUUCCAAAGCAAGUUCACAUUUUUCUUUGCGGGGCUGAUUCUGAGACUCAUCUCUUUUAGAUUCCACCUUUCGUUUAGUAGAAAACUUCCUCUUCUGUUGUGAUUUAUUUUCCAACCUUCUCUGUUUCAUUAUAGACACUAGUUGUCGUCGUUUUUUUUGCUGACCUAGUGGUUUUCGUGAGACAGGAGUUGAUAUUUGAGGUAUUAUUUCUCUGUCAACACAAGGAAUUCCUGUAGGAAAAUCUCCACCAUUUGGAUUUGUUGCCCGCCAUACUGUCAUCAAGCCUUUGCCAAUACCAUGCUUCUUAACAGAAGCACCGUCAUUGUAAUCCUGACAAGUCAAUUUGCCCUGCUUGGAUACCUUUCUCCUUUUUGCACUUUGAUUCUCUUCACAAGCAGCACUAGAAUUUCUGGAGUCUUUACAAUAGUGAUAUGCCCUCGAAGGAAGAGAAACAAAUUCCACACCAAGGGGAGGACCAUCUUUGCGAAAAAUCUUCCUUAAAAUAUAGUCUGGAGUCAAUAAAUUCUGAAGAAGAAUCGGCUUCUUCUUCCUCUUAUUUUUAAGAAUCCUGCCUGCAGCCUCUGAAGAUGCAUGCAUAAUCAAGCUGUCCUGCUGUUUAUGUGUCUUUUUAUUAGCAGGCGCAACUCUCAACCCAUUUCUUCCUUUAACAACUGAGAGUUUCUUGCUCGGACAGGGGGUUUCAAUAGAUAUAUCUUUGCUUUUGUCCCUCCUCCUUUUCUCAACGAACCAACCCUGGACCUGCUUGAAUGUCAAGUCCAAGACUGCAGCAAGUUCUUCCAUAGCCGUAUGCGUAGGAUACUUCUGUUCAGCAUAGAAUUUCUCGAGGGCUUCAAGCUGAAGUGGUGAUUUUCUCUUCAUUUCCAUCUUUCCCUCCUCUGCUUCAAUCAACUUAACGGCCGUUCUUGACUCAAUCAAACUGGAUUCUUCAUAGCUUGCUUAGAGAUUAGUUGCAGUGGUGAUGGAAAUGGAGAUAGAAGGGACUGAAAAUGAGGUUGAAGAAGAAGGGGUCAGUACUCUGCAGAGAGAUUUUACCAAAGUUGUAGGGUUUUGGGUUUUAUCAUCAUUUUUAUAUCACAUGGGUCCAUUAAGGGCUUUUCUUUUU